CACAGCCCCAAGAUCAGAGCUGCCAGAACUCAACACUCUGCCAACGAUACCAUGCAGAAACUGGAGUCCCCCAGAUGACCUGAUCCUGACUGGUUCAUCUGUCUUAUCAGGAGUGGUGAGCACUCAACUGGUCUUUGGCAUGUGAGAGCAGUGAUGUCACAUUUCCCCAAUAAAAGGACCUCAAAGGGUCAGGACCUCACCUUUACAUCUCCUCAGAAAAAUGGCAAUUCCAACCGAACAAUGCCACUUCAUACCUUGCUGGCUAGCCACUGAUUCAGAACAGAGUCACAGGGAAAAUGGCUCAAUUCUAGUUCACCAGCACUACUUCUUCCAGCUCCUGAACUUUUCU